UACGUAGGGUGCAAGCGUUAAUCGGAAUUACUGGGCGUAAAGCGUGCGCAGGCGGUUUUGUAAGUCUGUCGUGAAAUCCCCCGGGCUCAACCUGGGAAUUGCGAUGGAGACUGCAAGGCUAGAAUCUGGCAGAGGGGGGUAGAAUUCCACGUGCAGCAGUGAAAUGCGUAGAGAUGUGGAGGAACGACCGAUGGCGCAAGGCAGCCCCCUGGGUCAAGAUUGACGCUCAUGCACGA
rnacentral:rRNA from 1 species